rnacentral:rRNA from 1 species
UCCGGUUGAUCCUGACCGGAGGCCACUGCUAUCGGAGUUCGAUUAAGCCAUGCGAGUCGAGAGGUGCAAGACCUCGGCAUACUGCUCAGUAACACGUGGAUAAUCUACCCUGCGGAGGGGGAUAACCCCGGGAAACUGGGGAUAAUACCCCAUAGACUAUGGAUGCUGGAAUGCUCUGUAGCCGAAAGGUCCGCCGCCGCAGGAUGAGUCUGCGGCCGAUUAGGUUGUUGUUGGGGUAACGGCCCAACAAGCCUGUAAUCGGUACGGGUUGUGGGAGCAAGAGCCCGGAGAUGGAUUCUGAGACACGAAUCCAGGCCCUACGGGGCGCAGCAGGCGCGAAAACUUUGCAAUGCGAGAAAUCGUGACAAGGGAACUCCGAGUGCCCGUAAAUUCGGGCUGUCCGCCAGUUUAAAUAACUGGUGAAGAAAGGGCCGGGCAAGACCGGUGCCAGCCGCCGCGGUAAUACCGGCGGCUCGAGUGGUGGCCACUAUUACUGGGCUUAAAGCGUUCGUAGCUGGUUUGUUAAGUCUCUGGGGAAAUCUUCCGGCUUAACCGGAAGGCGUCUCAGGGAUACUGGCAGACUAGGGACCGGGAGAGGUGAGGGGUACUCCCAGGGUAGGAGUGAAAUCCUGUAAUACUUGGGGGACCACUG